GCCGGGGCCUGUGGACUCUGGGUGGAGGAGAAGGAGCAGUGGCUCAACGGGCUGGCCCUGCCUGAACGCCUGGAGGACCUGGAGGUCGUGCAGCAGAGUUCGAGACCCUGGAGCCUGAAAUGAACACCCUUGCAGCACAAAUCACCGCGGUGAAUGACAUUGCCGAGCAGUUACUGAAGGCCAACCCCCCAGGCAAAGACCGCAUUGUCAACACCCAGGAGCAGCUCAACCACAGUGGCAGCAGUUUCGGCGUCUGGCAGACGGCAAGAAGGCAGCUCUCACCUCAGCCCUGAGCAUCCAGAACUACCACUUAGAGUGCACGGAGACCCAGGCCUGGAUGAGAGAGAAGACCAAAGUCAUCGAGUCCACCCAGGGCCUAGGCAACGAUCUGGCUGGGGUGCUGGCCCUGCAGCGCAAGCUGGCCGGCACGGAGCGGGACCUGGAGGCCAUCGCCGCCCGGGUGGGCGAACUGACUCGAGAGGCAAAUGCCCUGGCUGCCGGCCAUCCCGCUCAGGCAGUGGCCAUC
rnacentral:lncRNA from 1 species